GACGAACGCUGGCGGCGUGCUUAACACAUGCAAGUCGAACGGAAAGGCCCCAGCUUGCUGGGGUACUCGAGUGGCGAACGGGUGAGUAACACGUGGGUGAUCUGCCCUGCACUCUGGGAUAAGCCUGGGAAACUGGGUCUAAUACCGGAUAGGACCGUGCUUUAGUGUGUGCGGUGGAAAGUUUUUCGGUGCAGGAUGAGCCCGCGGCCUAUCAGCUUGUUGGUGGGGUAAUGGCCUACCAAGGCGGCGACGGGUAGCCGGCCUGAGAGGGUGUACGGCCCCAUUGGGCCUGAGAAACGGCCCAGACUCCUACGGGAGGAAGCAGUGGGGAAUAUUGCACAAUGGGCGCAAGCCUGAUGCAGCGACGCCGCGUGGGGGAGGACGGCCUUCGGGUUGUAAACCCCUUUCGGCAGGGACGAAGCUUUUGUGACGGUACCUGCAUAAGAAGCACCGGCUAACUACGUG
rnacentral:rRNA from 1 species